AGUGAACGCUGGCGGUAGGCCUAACACAUGCAAGUCGAACGGCAGCACAGUAAGAGCUUGCUCUUACGGGUGGCGAGUGGCGGGCGGGUGAGGAAUACAUCGGAAUCUACUUUUUCGUGGGGGAUAACGUAGGGAAACUUACGCUAAUACCGCAUACGACCUACGGGUGAAAGCAGGGGAUCUUCGGACCUUGCGCGAAUGAAUGAGCCGAUGUCGGAUUAGCUAGUUGGCGGGGUAAAGGCCCACCAAGGCGACGAUCCGUAGCUGGUCUGAGAGGAUGAUCAGCCACACUGGAACUGAGACACGGUCCAGACUCCUACGGGAGGCAGCAGUGGGGAAUAUUGGACAAUGGGCGCAAGCCUGAUCCAGCCAUACCGCGUGGGUGAAGAAGGCCUUCGGGUUGUAAAGCCCUUUUGUUGGGAAAGAAAAGCAGCAGGUUAAUACCCCGCUGUUCUGACGGUACCCAAAGAAUAAGCACCGGCUAACUUCGUG
rnacentral:rRNA from 1 species